rnacentral:rRNA from 1 species
CAGUCGCCGCGGGAAUACGUAGGGUGCGAGCGUUAAUCGGAAUUACUGGGCGUAAAGCGUGCGCAGGCGGUUUUGUGAGACAGGCGUGAGAUCCCCGGGCUCAACCUGGGAAUGGCGCUUGUGACUGCAAAGCUAGAGUGCGGCAGAGGGGGAUGGAAUUCCGCGUGUAGCAGUGAAAUGCGUAGAUAUGCGGAGGAACACCAGUGGCGAAGGCGGCUCACUGGACCUGUACUGACGCUCAUGCACGAAAGCGUGGGGAGCAAACAGGAUUAGAUACCCGUGUAGUCCCUGUCUCUUAUAU